GGCUCAGAUUGAACGCUGGCGGCAUGCCUUACACAUGCAAGUCGAACGCGAAAGGGGGCAACCCCAAGUAGAGUGGCGAACGGGUGAGUAAUGCAUCGGAACAUUUCCUGUAGUGGGGGAUAACCUCGAGAAAUCGAGGCUAAUACCGCGUACGUCCUACGGGAGAAAGCGGGGGAUCGCAAGACCUCGCGCUAUAGGAUUGGCCGAUGCCGGAUUAGCUAGUUGGUGAGGUAACGGCCCACCAAGGCUACGAUCCGUAGCUGGUCUGAGAGGAUGAUCAGCCACACUGGGACUGAGACACGGCCCAGACUCCUACGGGAGGCAGCAGUGGGGAAUUUUGGACAAUGGGCGCAAGCCUGAUCCAGCCAUGCCGCGUGAGUGAAGAAGGCCUUCGGGUUGUAAAGCUCUUUCGGCCGGGACGAAAUCGCACCCUCUAAUACGGGGUGUGGAUGACGGUACCGGAAGAAGAAGGACCGGCUAACUACGUGCCAGCAGCCGCGGUAAUACGUAGGGUCCGAGCGUUAAUCGGAAUUACUGGGCGUAAAGCGUGCGCAGGUGGUUUUGUAAGCCAGAUGUGAAAUCCCCGGGCUUAACCUGGGAACUGCAUUUGGGACUGCAAGGCUAGAGUACGGCAGAGGGAGGUGGAAUUCCAGGUGUAGCAGUGAAAUGCGUAGAGAUCUGGAGGAACACCGAUGGCGAAGGCAGCCUCCUGGGCUAGUACUGACGCUCAUGCACGAAAGCGUGGGGAGCAAACAGGAUUAGAUACCCUGGUAGUCCACGCCCUAAACGAUGACGACUAGUUGUUGGGGAUUUAACAUCCUUAGUAACGUAGCUAACGCGUGAAGUCGUCCGCCUGGGGAGUACGGUCGCAAGAUUAAAACUC
rnacentral:rRNA from 1 species